GUGCAGCAGGCGAGAAACUUCACAAUGUGCGAAAGCACGAUGAGGGAAUCCCAAGUGCUUGCACGUAAGUGUAAGCUGUUUCUCUGUCUAAAACGCAGAGAGAGUAAGGGCUGGGUAAGACGGGUGCCAGCCGCCGCGGUAAUACCUGCAGCUCGAGUGGUGACCGUUAUUAUUGGGCCGUAAAACGUACCGUAGCCGGUUUAAUAAAU
rnacentral:rRNA from 1 species